rnacentral:lncRNA from 1 species
UCACAUAAUAUCUGCUAAGCUUAUAAAGUUAAUUAGAGCAAGAGCAGAAAGAGUAUACAAGUCUAAUUAGAAAGCUAAAAAAUAAACAAAUUCAUUACAUAUUAUACAAAAGUAGAAAUUAGUGGGGGCAAGUGGCCCCCUGCCCAUGCUUGGGUCCGCCGCUGCAUGUAUUCAUGGGUUUUAUUCCACAACAUUCAUUUGAGAAUCUCAUUUAUGUAGGAUUUGCGGCCGGUGUGAAUCUCAUUUAUGUGGCCGUUGCGACAGUGUGAUGCUGUUAGGAUCUGCGGUCAGUGUGAAUUCCAUUUAUGUAGCCGCUAGUAGAAUCUACUGGCGGUCAGUGUGAAUCCAAUUUAUGUAGUAGAACAUGAGAUUUUGUGUUUGACCUAUUGUGACAUCUAUGUUUCAUAUUUGAUUCUCAGUUCUUUUAUUUUAGGAAGUUUAUUUCGUUCUUAUGAGUCUUUUGAGUUAAUUUAUUAUUUCUUUAAUGAGACUUUAUUAGUUCUUAAUAUUGUAAUAGUGAUGGUG